rnacentral:rRNA from 1 species
GACAGAGGGGGCAAGCGUUGCUCGGAAUUACUGGGCGUAAAGGGCGCGUAGGCGGGAUGGCAAGUCGGUCGUGAAAUCCUUCGGCUCAACCGAAGAACGUCGAUCGAUACUGCUGUUCUUGAGGGUUGCAGAGGAGACUGGAAUUCCUGGUGUAGCAGUGAAAUGCGUAGAUAUGCGGAGGAACACCGAUGGCGAAGGCAAUCCCCUGGGCCUGCACUGACGCUCAUGCACGAAAGCGUGGGGAGCAAACAGG